GUGCUCACUUCAGCAGCAAAUACACUAAAAUUGGAAGGAAAAAGAAAAAUUAGGAUGGCCCCUGUACAAGGAUGAUAUGCAAAUUUAUAGCAUUCCAUAUUUUU